UAGGGAAUCUUCGGCAAUGGACGAAAGUCUGACCGAGCAACGCCGCGUGAGUGAAGAAGGUUUUCGGAUCGUAAAACUCUGUUGUUAGAGAAGAACAAGGUCGUUAGUAACUGAACGUCCCCUGACGGUAUCUAACCAGAAAGCCACGGCUAACUACGUGCCAGCAGCCGCGGUAAUACGUAGGUGGCAAGCGUUGUCCGGAUUUAUUGGGCGUAAAGCGAGCGCAGGCGGUUUCUUAAGUCUGAUGUGAAAGCCCCCGGCUCAACCGGGGAUGGUCAUUGGAAACUGGGAGACUUGGGUGCAGAAGAGGAAGGUGGAAUUCCAUGUGUAGCGGUGAAAUGCGUAGAUAUAUGGAGGAACACCAGUGGCGAAGGCGGCUCUCUGGUCAGUAACUAACGCUGAGGCUCAAAAGCGUGGGCAGCAAACAGG
rnacentral:rRNA from 1 species